CGGAUUGUUCGCGUGUGCUUGUGUGUGUUCAGGAGCGAUUGGGAAUUUUGCUUUAUUGACCCUUUCGUUUCUCUCCGCGAAGGAAAUACGUGUUGGUUUAUUUACGUUUACAUUUAUCGUUUUUCGUUAGUGUUUUCAUUAAUAGAAGACUGACAGCAAUGCCGUUCGCACGUACAUACUAGGAACAACCCUUAUCCGAAGACCAAUGCAUAAGACAGGGAUCGAAAA